ACACACCACACACACACACACCACACAUACACACACACAUACACACCACGCACACGCACACACACACACACACACACACACACACACACACACACACACACACCACGCACGCACAAUCUCUCCCCCUUUUUCUUUCCCCAAUGAGAAAGGCUUCCUCUGAGACUUCCGUGGAUCACAUUUAAAGGUGGAAAUAGCUAGCAAUCAAAAUUGCAUUUGUUCCCCAGGUAAAGGGAGAUGCUGUCGGCUUUGCCCACAGUGGCUGGGCUCCAUUAAUGGUGACGUCCCUCUCAUUGUGCACCCUCAGACUCUCUGUCUCUUGUUCUUCUUCCCUUCGACCUCUUCUGAUCAUAGAAAACAUUAAGGUAGAAAAUACCUUAAUUUUACUUUAUCUACCCAAAUUCAUAAUACUAAGUAUAGCACUAAAGCUAGAGAAUGUGGAUACUCUACUUGCUUAAGAGAAAUUUCUCUGAAAGGGGGAAAAACCCUUUUAAAUAAAAGAUUUUAAAUUAUAAUUACUUACUUAUACCUACAUGUUUAACUUUGUUAAAAUUGUUUAUUUAAUUUUAAAAAUACACAUAUAGCUAAUGCUUUGAGCUAAGAACUGCUUUAAGUCCGUACUUGAGCAUCAGGUAUAAGCAGAUGUGGCCUUGAUGGUUGUCAGCCUGAGGAAUGCCCCUGCCACACCUUCAGCCAGGGCUCAGUAGCUGCAGCCCUGCUCCAGCAGACCCUGCCCUGCUCCCUGUGCUGGUGAGUAAAAUGGACGGAGAAGUGCUCACAGUGCUAGUCGGCUAGUUGAUCCCAUUCUAGGAGACUUUACAAAUAGUGGGUGUGGGUUAUUUAUACUGUGAACCACUUCACUUUAAAAUAUGGACCCAUAUAGAGGAAAGAACUGGCUGGGUGAGGAGUUCCCACAUUAGGUGUCUUUGAAACAAACCCAAGGAAUCCUAAACUUUAGUCAGCCAACGUGGCAGGGCUGUGGGGAGACUGAAAGGGAAAUAGAAAAAUAUCUGCAAGAGCUCAUCACCGAAGACUCUCCCUAAAAUCCUGCCUCCCUCCGCAUGCUCACAGAACAAACCCGAGAAGAAGCAGCAUCUUCCACUCAACAUGUUCUGAUGGUGACCGCUGCACACGCAGGCCGUAUGUUGGUACCCAAGUCUGAAUUCUGCAGACAGGUUCCUAUUUCACCGGCUCUCAAGUACAGUCACGACAAAGACUAUCGAGGGAGCCUGUCGGUGUAAAAUUGUUUACAUUUCUUUCUAUAAAAUAAUGUGCUUUCAGUGCCUUAGUUAUGGCUCCCUUUCUUUUUCCUGUUCUAAGAAUUCUAUACCGUGUUCUUGGAUAAAGUCUCUCCUUGUCACUCACUAGGAGAAAAAUGGUGUCCCAACACCAGUCAGUGGUUGACAGAAGUGACAAAACCCUAUGUUGAAACAUGGAAAAGAUAGCUCGGUGCUGAGCUAGUGGCUGCCUAGAGUUCUUACACUGUGGAAAACAAUUGCUUGGCCACGCAAUGAACUUUACACCACAUGUGGCCCUAAAGGUGUCUUGUACCCACCUAAAAUUUUUAUUUCAGAGUCUUGGUUUUGGUAACUCAUUUUUAAAAGAUCAUUACACGGAGAACACCAAGUUUUAAAACUAACUCACAGAAUGGCCUUAGCUUCAGUGUCCACUGGGAUGUUUAUGAAUUACCUGUAAAAUGCAUCCAGAAUAAAGUGGAGUGAAUUACAUGGUUCAAAAGC
rnacentral:lncRNA from 1 species